AGGGUUUGAUUCUGGCUCAGAACAAACGCUGGCGACGUGUCUUAGGCAUGCAAGUCGGACGGUAACAUGUAGAAGCUUGCUUCUAUGAUGACGAGUGGCGGACGGGUGAGUAACGCAUGGGAAUCUACCCUAGGGUUCAGAAUAGCCAUCGGAAACGAUGGGUAAUACUGGAUAACAUCGAAAGAUCAAAGGGGCUUCGGCCUCGCCAAAGGAUGAGCCUGUGUCCCAUCAGGUAGUUGGUAGAGUAAAAGCCUACCAAGCCAACGACGGGUAGCUGGUCUGAGAGGAUGAUCAGUCACAAGGGAACUGAGAUACGGUCCCUACUCCUACGGGAGGCAGCAGCCAAGAAUAUUCCGCAAUGGGGGAAACCCUGACGGAGCGACGUCGCGUGAAGGAGGAAGGCCCUCGGGUUGUAAACUUCUUUUAUGUGGGAAGAAUAAGUUUGGUAGGUAAUGACCAGACGAUGACGGUACCACUUGAAUAAGCCCCGGCUAAUUACGUGCCAGCAGCCGCGGUAAUACGUAAGGGGCGAGCGUUGUUCGGAUUUACUGGGCGUAAAGGGCGUGUAGGCGGCCAGGUAAGUUGAAUGUGAAAGACCGCAGGCUUAACCGCGGAGACGUGUUCAAAACUACCUGGCUAGAGUUUGGUGGAAGGUGAUGGAAUUCUCGGUGUAGCGGUGAAAUGCGUAGAUAUCGAGGAGAACACCAAAGGCGAAGGCAGUCACCUAUACCGAAACUGACGCUGAGGCGCGAAAGCGUGGGGAGCGAACAGGAUUAGAUACCCUGGUAGUCCACGCAGUAAACGAUGUACACUAGGAAUUGGCAGGUUACUGUUGGUUCCACAGCAAACGCAUUAAGUGUACCGCCUGGGGAGUACGGCCGCAAGGUUGAAACUCAAAGAAAUUGACGGGGGCCCGCACAAGCGGUGGAGCACGUGGUUUAAUUCGAUGAUAAGCGGAGAACCUUACCAAGACUUGACAUAGUAUUGACCGUCUGCGAAAGUAGAUUUUCCCUUCGGGGACAGUAUUACAGGUGCUGCAUGGUUGUCGUCAGCUCGUGCCGUGAGGUGUUGGGUUAAGUCCCGCAACGAGCGCAACCCCUACUUUUAGUUGCUACCAUUUAGUUGAGCACUCUAGAAGGACUGCCGGCGAUAAGUCGGAGGAAGGAGGGGACGACGUCAAAUCAUCAUGGCCUUUAUGUCUUGGGCUACACACAUGCUACAAUGGGCACUACAACGGGAUGCUAGACCGCGAGGUCAUGCCAAUCUCUUAAAAGUGUCCUCAAUAUGGAUUGCAGUCUGCAACUCGACUGCAUGAAACUGGAAUCGCUAGUAAUCGCGGAUCAGCAAUGCCGCGGUGAAUACGUUCUCGGGCCUUGUACACACCGCCCGUCACACCACCCGAGUUGGUUUUUCUUGAAGCUGGUUACCCCAAC
rnacentral:rRNA from 1 species